GACGAACGCUGGCGGCGUGCUUAACACAUGCAAGUCGAACGGUAAGGCCCUUCGGGGUACACGAGUGGCGAACGGGUGAGUAACACGUGGGUGAUCUGCCCUGCACUUCGGGAUAAGCCUGGGAAACUGGGUCUAAUACCGGAUAGGACUCCGGACUGCAUGGUCUGGGGUGGAAAGCUUUUGCGGUGUGGGAUGGGCCCGCGGCCUAUCAGCUUGUUGGUGGGGUGAUGGCCUACCAAGGCGACGACGGGUAGCCGGCCUGAGAGGGUGACCGGCCACACUGGGACUGAGAUACGGCCCAGACUCCUACGGGAGGCAGCAGUGGGGAAUAUUGCACAAUGGGCGCAAGCCUGAUGCAGCGACGCCGCGUGAGGGAUGACGGCCUUCGGGUUGUAAACCUCUUUCAGCAUCGACGAAGCGAAAGUGACGGUAGGUGCAGAAGAAGGACCGGCCAACUACGUGCCAGCCGCCGCCGUAAUAC
rnacentral:rRNA from 1 species